CACCGUGAGGUGGAAUCUGGAGGAAAUCUAAGGCAAAGUACUGCAUCGAUGAACAAGAAGUAGCUAUAAGGCUGAAAUUAACUGGAUAAGGCUGCUAGACAAGUUGAAGUCCAAUACUACUCGAAGUUGGUCUCAGUAAAGCUAACGAUGACAUGGUACGAAAGCUAAU
rnacentral:ncRNA from 1 species